UUCAUUCAGGGCUUGCCACAUGAACCGCUCAAAAUCUUUCACAGCGAGGUCAAGAGUGGCGUAACGGGAACAAUCGAAGACAUUCGCGAACGAGGCGAUCAUCGGCAGGAGCCUGUUAAAGUCCGUCCGCGCGUAGUCAAGGCGUGGUGUUAGCACAGGAACGGCUGAUUCCUCUCGUGGUAGCGGGAUGGCCAACUCAAGCGCAGGGUGAUAGGUGUCAAUUGCUAACAGCGGGGUGAGGCAAAGUUCAAGCGGAAGGCAAACAGAAGCAACAGCAUUAUUUACAAACAUCAGGUCUAAGACAACGCUGCCUAAGACAACGCUGCCGUUAUAUUACAACGCACACUAGCUCAAGUGAUGGAUGCACCGUUGUGUGUUCCCGUGACGUCAGAGACUGAGAGCACGCAAUCAACACACCUCCACCGCGGGAACAUGUACUGUUGUCAACACUACGAUCGCAUCGGUAGACUCGGAAGCUAUCGUCAAACAGCAAAGCCGAAGGCGAAACUCAUCGACCUUCGUGCGCAGUCCCCGCACGUUUUGAUAGUAAACAGAGGCAGUGGAACGGGCAGUGCGAAGCGCAUUAG